GAUGAACGCUGGCGGCGUGCCUAAUACAUGCAAGUCGAGCGAACGGACGAGAAGCUUGCUUCUCUGAUGUUAGCGGCGGACGGGUGAGUAACACGUGGACAACCUACCUAUAAGACUGGGAUAACUUCGGGAAACCGGCGCUAACACCGGAUAAUAUUUUGAACCGCAUGGUUCAAAAGUGAAAGACGGUCUUGCUGUCACUUAUAGAUGGAUCCGCGCUGCAUUAGCUAGUUGGUAAGGUAACGGCUUACCAAGGCAAGGAUGCAUAGCCGACCUGAGAGGGUGAUCGGCCACACGGGAACUGAGACACGGUCAAGACUCCUACGGGAGGCAGCAGUAGGGAAUCUUCCGCAGUGGGCGAAAGCCUGACGGAGCAAGGCCGCGUGAGUGAUAAAGGUCUUCGGAUCGUAAAGCUCUGUUAUUAGGGAAGAACAUAUGUGUAAGUAACUGUGCACAUCGUGACGGUACCUAAUCAGAAAGCCACGGCUAACUACGUG
rnacentral:rRNA from 1 species